rnacentral:misc_RNA from 1 species
AACGCACAUUGCGCCCCUUGGUAUUCCGGGGGGCAUGCCUGUUCGAGCGUCAUUACAACCAAUCACGCCCUGCGCGUGGUCUUGGGGUUCGCGGUCUCGCGUCCCUUAAAACCAGUGGCGGUGCCGUUGGGCUCUAAGCGUAGUAAUUCUUCUCGCUUUAGGACUCUGCGGUGACCUGCCAGAACCCCAAAUUUUUUCAGGUUGACCUCGGAUCAGGUAGGGAUACCCGCUGAACUUAA